GGGAUGGUGACAGUGUGCCGGAUGGUGACGGCCUGGGAAUGCUGUGUCAGAGCCAUGAAACCGACCUUAAGAACAAACCAACCAACCAAAGGACGGUCGCCCCAGACUUCUGAAUUUCCCCUCCUACAACACAGGGAUUUCUGCUCCCACAGCACGUGGAGAAGGUGGGCUUCGUGCCACUCGUUGCUGCUGUAUCCAUCCCCAAAAGCUGUGAGGAAGGCGCUCCUUGGCUCCUGCUGCUGAGUGUUUCAAGGGAUAGGAAGUACAGAAUUUAUUGUCUUGGAAAAAUAUUGCUUUCUCUCCCCCAGAAAGCUGAAAAUGGGGUUAAUUCCACUUUUUCAAACGGU